rnacentral:rRNA from 1 species
CGCCUACGGGGGGCAGCAGUAGGGAAUCUUCCACAAUGGGCGAAACCCUGAUGCAGCGACGCCGCGUGUGGGAAGACGGUCUUCUGGAUUGUAAACCACUGUCCCCAGGGACGAAAAUGACGGUACCUGGGGAGGAAGCUCCGGCUAACUACGUGCCAGCAGCCGCGGUAAUACGUAGGGAGCAAGCGUUGUCCGGAAUUACUGGGUGUAAAGGGAGCGUAGGCGGGGAUGCAAGUUGGGUGUCAAAACUACCGGCUCAACCGAUAGUCGAACUCAAAACUGCAGCUCUUGAGUGAAGUAGAGGG